rnacentral:lncRNA from 1 species
UAUAUGUUAAGUGCAGAUUUUGCGACACAUAUUAAUGAUUUUUAUUUUGUCCAGUAAGCUGAAUUAAAGGGUUAUGGCAGAUAUACAGCUAAACUGUCUAACUUGCAAAAAGAAUUCACUAAAAUCUUAGUCUUAUUACAUCAAGAAACAUAGCUAAAAAAGUUGCAACUUUUUAUUCCGGGAUAUUACAUAAAAUUGUCUAUUUGAUGUAACCUUGCAGUACACUUCCUAAUCAGAUAUAAUAAUUACUUGUAAGUUUUACAAGUUCUAUUUUUAAAAUUUAUCUCACUUUUGGUUAACUUGCUAUUGUAUUUGAAUAUACUUUAAAUCAAAUCAUAAUUUUGUUCUCUCUCUUCCACACGUAUACAGACAGUGAAUUGAAUCAGAACUAAUUUGCAAGUCAAGUUUCACUGCGUUAUUGGUAUUUUGAGAGAGAGCCUUCACUUAUCUAGCUUAGUUUAGGAGUAAUAUUUGUAUAUGUUGGUUAAGUUUUUUUGUUGGCAUAUUUUACUUUUAUUUAAGGAGCUUGUAAUGAGAUAUUAUCUUAAUUUAAUUUAGUUCUUAAUUGUAUGAUCAUAAUUGAUUUUUUGUUAUUGUAUGGCUUUUAUUAUUAUUAUGGCCAUAAGUUAUUUUUUUUAUUAUAUGACUUCUAUUAUUAUUAUUAUUAUUAUUAUUAUUAUUAUUAUUAUUAUUAUUAUUAUUAUUAUUAUGCAAUUCUAGUAUAAAAAUAAGCACCAGUAUGAAAUUAUUAAGCAUUAUCAAAAUGUUUAUAAUUAGUCACAAAAGAUUUUGUCAUUAAAUAAUUAACUUUUGGCAACAACUAAUGAAAUUUUUGAAGACAAUUUGUUUUGUCCCAAAACAUCUUAGUUGGCUACGUUUAUUCUUACAUUAUAUGACAAAUGUAAUUGACACUAAUCAUGGCCAUAAUAGUGAUAAUUCUUUGUAAUAGCAAAGUUGUCACUAAUUUAUACAUUCUGGGACGAAAUAUUUUUUGUAUAUAAAAGGCCAAUUUCAGUGACAAAAUUAAGUUUAUGUAACUAUGAAACACAUAUAACUUUAGAGACAAUUAAUGUCGUCAUUGAUUGACCUAAAUAAUUAGGGACGAUGAAAUUUUAUCGGUAUUAAUAAUCUUAUUAGUGACCAAAUCAUAUUAUCAACUACUAAAAAGUUAUAUUUUCAUGACAAACAAAUUCGUCACAAAUCGUCUUUUGUAGGUAAUAUAAUAUCUUUCGUGACGAAGCACUAAAUCGUUUUGUAUACUUUUAGCGACCAACGUUUAGAAACGAUUGAUUGACAAUUUUUUUUGUCACAUAAUUUUUUUUGUGAUAUGACUUAUAAGUGAGGAAAUCAUUUGUCGCUGAUAAUCGAAUUUAUUAUAGUGAUUAAUGAAAUAUCAAGAAUAAUGAGCCUCCUUCAAGAUCAAUCAAACCCAUCUACCAAGUCUCAACAAACAAACUCGGUCACUAAUCCUCAAAACGCCAUUAGAAUCAAGAGAUGUCGUCUUUGACUUGCCACUCAACACCUUAUCACGAACACCCUUAAUUUAUCAUCAUCAAAAUGAUGAUCUCUAAUCUGGCCCAUUUAAAAAGAUCUAGCCUCAACAAAGGCUAAUACAUGACCGGUGUCAAAAUAUCAAGCCUAAUCAGCUAAUUAACUAAAGACCAAACCUCUAAGGUCAAAGGUUACUCACGAGUGAAAAAAUGAGCUAAACUUCCCAUACUCGUCGUCUUCCAGCUUAAGGCAUUCGAAACCAUAUUUGUCUUACCGAAAUGAUGCUGAAGCAGCUCAAGCAAACAUCGCUAUCUCAUAUUAAGAUCUCGCUAAGUGAAGAAGUACUGCAGGCUAUGAUAAUACGAGAAAAUCUCACAAUGGACCUAUACAACUAAUGCCACCACAACUUCAAUACAAAGACAAUUGCGGCUAACCCCAAGUCAUACAACUACGGCUAACCCUAAGUCAUAGGUAGGGUAAUUCUUAUUAUAAGACUUCAACUGACGAGAAGCAUAUAUAAUUAUCUUAUCCUCCUGCAUCAACAACUAACUUCAACUGUUUGACAUAUGCCCUCCUUAGGCAAGGUCAAAAUAAGAGUUGAUGUCAACAACUGUUUGAGCUUUUGAAAGCUCUCUCACAAGCAUACGACCACUGAAGUACAAUCUUCUUCUGAGUCAACUUAGUCAAAGGAGCCACAAUCGAAGAGAAACCCCUAUAAAAUAUUGAUAUAACCCGAUAAAUCAAUAAAACUCCUAAGUUCGAUAGAAGAAGUAGGUCUCGUCCAUUCAUGACUUGCUGCUAUCUUGGCCAGAUAAACCAUAAAGCCAUCCUUGGUCACUACAUGAAUCAAAAAAGAAAUAGAAUCUGACCAGAGCUUGUACUUGUAGAACUUUGUAUAUAACUUCUCAUCUCGCAAUCUCUAAGGAAUAGUCCUAAAAUGCCUCACAUGGUAAGCCUCGUUCUUACUAGACCAAGAUACCAUCUAUAAAUACAAUCACAAAAGAGUUGAGAUACGAUCAAAAUACUCUUGUUCAUUAACUCCAUGAACACUACUGGGGCAUUGGUUAGUCUAAAUGACAUGACCAAAAGUUCAUGAUGACCGUACUAAGUCUAAAGAUCUAUCUUCAGAACAUCUGAAGCUAUAAUCUUCAAAUGGUGAUACCCAAAUCUCAAGUCAAUCUUACAAAACUCAAAGAACCCUAGAACUAGUUAAAUAGAUUAUAAAUGUGAGGAAAAGAAUACUUAUUAUUGACCUCCUAUAGUCAAUGUACAUACACAUCGAUCCAUUUCUUUUCUUCAAAAAUAAAACUGGGGUACCCCAAGCACACACAACUGGGGUACCCCAAGCACACACACUAAGUCUAAUGAAGCUCUUACUCAACAAAUCCUACAACUUCUCCUUUAAUUUCUUUAUCUCAGAUGGGGCCAAUCUAUAAGAAGGAAUGGAAAUGGUAUUGGUGCUCAACUCCACAUCAAUUGUAAAAACAUCAUAAUUUAGAGAUAUACUAGACAAAUCUAUAGGAAACACAUCCUGAAACUCCCUUACAACUUAAACCAAAUAUAGAGGAGGUAGUGAACCAACAUUAGUAUCAUAAAUAAAAGACAAGUAAGAUCAAAAUACCUUUUCUACCAUGCAAUGAACACGUAGAAAAGAUAUAACUUCCUUCAGACUCAAAUUUAGAGUAUCCUUGGCAUACUCGGAGUAGCUAGAGUCUAACAAUUUGAAAUAGCAUGAUAUGGAUAUAACUAAUCCAUACCCAAUCUAAAUAAUAAAAUUAAUUAUAUAUAUAGGAUAAUCGAGUCUACUCAGGUCUCACUUCCUUCAAAGGUCACCACAUAACAUCAGUACACUUAAUCUACCACAAUGAAUCCCUACUAAGGUAGAAAUACAAAAAGGUACAUGUAAUACCCCGUAUUUUUUCUGGCUUAAAUUCGUUUCUAGAAUGUUAAGAAAUAGCUUCCAAAAUAAAAAAUAUUUAUUUGGAGUGGAAUCUUCCAGAUUUAGACCUCCCAUUGUGUGGAAAAUUGAAUAAGCUUCCCAUCGAUACCAAAUUUGCCCAAUUCCGAUACUCGGUUGAGGAGUUAGAGCAUUUUUAAGUUAACAGUGUGCCACCUAGGCACUUGGCGCAUCGCAGAGGUGAGUAAAAUCAUAAUUUUCAAACUCCAAUAACGCUCCAAGAUAGUCCCGCAUUGCGGAGAGGGCCAAUUUCCCAAUUAUCGAUUUCCAGUAGCCUAACGCUAUCUUGGCGCAUCGCGUCAGUGGCCAAAAUGACAUUUCUAUAGGGCACCGCAAUGGUGGCGCGUCGCGUUGAAGUUUCAGGUCCCAAUUAUCAAAAUCCAGUGGGACAACACGAUAGCUCCACGGCGUGGAGACCCCAAUUUCCUAGUCAUCUAUUUCUAGUGAUCCAUCACGAUAGUGGCGUGUCGCGGUGGUCCAUUAAAUCGGGAUUUUUAGUUCUCUUUUCCAUUUCCGUUUAAAAGUUUAAAAGGGGUAUUUUGGUAAAUUUUCAAGGCACCAAUCCGUCCAAAACACAAUAUUUAUCAUAUUCAAAGCACUUUGUGCUCCUUAUUCAUCAUUCUCUUUAAUAGCAAAACCCUAGAGCUCUAAAACCUCUUCUCCAAGAAAUUAAAAUCCUUUAUGGAUUCUCUAAGAAAGCUCUAAAUUGAGGAUUUCUAAGGCAAGAUAAUCAAGAAUCCAUCAUCAAGAACUCAAAUAGGAAUCCAUAAUUCAAUAAUCUCCAUUUAAUUAUCAAUCAAGGUAUGUGGGGUUUAUGAACAAGGAUCUUUUUCCAUCCUUGUGCCCAAAACCAAGCUUUUAUUUAAAAUUCAUAUGAUUUUGAAUGAUUAUUUAGGAGAUUUGAAUUAGGGUUCAUACCCUUUAUUGCUCUUUGCAAGAUUUUGAUAUUUGAAGUAUUUUAGAAGAUGAAUUGCAUGUCUAUUUUUAUACUUUCAUGCCUAUUGCAAAAAUUUACAGAUUUUGAGAUGAAUUAUCAUUGUUUUCAUUAUUGAGCAUGAAUAUUAUGAUGUUUUGACAUAAGAUUGAUGCAUGGGUUAUAACCCAAGAUUGAAUAUUAUUAUUUCAAUAAAGAUGAUGCUUUAAGCUUCCUAUCAUUAGAUUAAUUUUAGAUUUUCAGCAAAGCUUUGAUCUUUCUAUCAUCAGAUUAGCUAUGGAAUCCACUUUUCAGAUUAUUACAAAUUACAGAAUUUAGAUUUUCUCCAUUUAUAGAUUUUAUCAGAUUAAUGCAUAAUUGGUUUUAGAUAAACCCUUAUGCUAUUUUAAACAUAGAUUUUCAACAGAAUGAGCGUAGCAAAUAAAAAGGGAGUAGUAUUUAGCAUCGAACGGAAAGUAUGGGUUUAGCGUAUCCUAGUUCCACAGAACUACGUAGCCAACGUAGGUACAGAUUAUAAUAUUAUUCCCACUUCUACGUGGAUGACAGUUUCAGAUGUGAUCACUUAGCUCAGGUUAUACUUCUUGGCAAGAGUAUGAUACCUCUCCCCAUCGUGAGGUUUUCUCCUAAGGGGAAAGAGACAUUGGACUCCAUGUAGCUCGCAUGGUUUAUGCCGGUUAAGAGAACCUCCCUAACAGUAAGUUUUCAGAAUAGUUUUAAAGUAUUUUUUUGCUAUAGACUAAAUAUUUUAGAAAAGAUUAACAGAAAAGCUUUUAGAAAACUAAGUGUAAAGGCUCACAAAGUUUACUCAGAUUAUGCUUUACAGAAUGAUAUUAGCUACAGACUUUAGCUUUCAGAUUUCAGAAUUUAGAGUGAGUGUUUUCUACACUUAGACAGUAUGAUUUAAAGAGAGAACACAAGUACAUCUUUCACAACUAAAUGUUAUGACUCACUAAAUUUAUAAAGUAUGAAUGAUUUAUUAUUCAUGAUUCCAAUAUUUCAGAUAUUCCAGCUUAUGUGAGUCAUUUACAUUUUGCAUGCAUUAUUUUAUAAAUUAUGAUGAUGAGAUGAUGUUUUACUUAUGCAUUUCACCCCAUAUACUCAGUACAUCCUCAAAGUACUGAUCCACAUGUAUGUCUAUGUGCUACAUUGUCUCAUAAUGUAGGUUCAGGUGCUCAGUAUUAGCAGCGUGAGUAGUCUGAGCAUCUCCAUCUAUAUCCUACAGUUGGUGAGUCCUCAUAGUUUAGGGACUUGUUCACUCAGAUUUUGCAGAUUAUCAGUUUACAUGAUUUAGUAUUCUUUUCAGACAGUUUGAGUUAGCUGGAGGUCUGUCCUAGUGACUCUCUAAUUGGUAGUAGCAGAGUCUUGUCAGACUACUAGUUAUGAUUCAACUUAUUCAGUAUUGAGAUUUCAGACAUUGUUUCAGAUAUUAUAUUCAGACGAUUUUCCACAUUCAACAUGACUUUAUGUCUAUAUUUCCAUUAUUAUCAGUUUCAGAUUCAGUAGUAGGUAGACGGGGUUAGCUUAAGUCUAGUCGUAGUAUUAAGCACAGUGUAAAGUCUCGAGAUUUGAUUUCGGGGGGGUUACAGUACAACAAGGGACUUAUAUGCAACAUCAAAACCAGUGGAAAGAUAUGUAGACAUAUAGGAGAAUGUAGAUCAAGGGACAAAUAACAUAGAAGAAGAAUGAUAACAAAUUGGAAUAAUACUUGUAAUACUUAUAAUGUGGAAUAAAUGUUUCAAUCAUCCUCGUCAUACCAUAAUUGUGUGGUUGCAGGCUCUCCCCAGCCAACUCAUAUUACUGAGAUAAUUCUUUAUUCCAAUUGAUCCGAGAUCCUUCGAUCAGUAUAUAGAAGAGAAUGAUAAAUAACGAAUACAAAAGCUAAAACCCCCCAAAAAAGGUUCUAAUGAAUUAGAUGUAAAAAAGUGAAUUUUCCAGAAUUGUAUUGUUGUUCAUGUUGCUUCAUAUUAAAAAUAAUAUAAAAAUACAUUGUCCACGUCCACUUCUGGACUUAUCAACCCCACAUCCACCACCAUAAUAUCCUCUAGAACCUCUAGUGACACCUCUACCGCUCUUAAUAACCACCCAUGGCAGUAAAUAUAAGAGUAGGGCAAAGCUAAAGCUAAGAAUUCUACUAGGCAAGAGCUAAUGCAUAUCGAGGGUAUUCCCUCACAUAAUGGCCAAUAUUAGGACGUAUUAAACACUAUAUGCUACUAGAAUCAUGAUGAUAAGGCCCAAAAUAAUAAAAACACCUACCCUGGCCCGCUGCACUAAAAUUAGAGCCUCUACCUGCAUGACCUGACUCCUGGCUAACUGAAGUUGUAGAAACAAAAAGACUACCAUCCUAACUCUAUAAGGCUUCCCGAAUUGGUAUACCAUGAUAAUAGCGAGAGCCUCUAUUGGAUAAAUCCCUACCUCAGGAUGUAAAUAUACUAAACUAACCCUGCUGGCGCACCUUCUGGGUGGAUUCCCGAAUAGCCUGACUAAUCGACUCAAUCACUUAGCAUGAUCUACAAUGCUUUGAAAAGAUGCUCAUGAAACAACCAUUUGGGUUGUCACUAACUAAUAAUCACCUAUAAAACCCUUGAAAAACCUCCUAAUCCUUUCUGACUCAAUGGAAAUACUAGCAGUGUCAUAGCUGUAUAGUGCAUAAACAUAUGCCUUAUACUCCACAAUGGUCAUGGAGAGCUACUCCGGGUGGUCAAAGUUAUUUCUCAUCUGACCCCUUAAACUUCAAGGCAUGAACCUCUCAAAAAAACCUUAAAAAGUGGGUCCACAUCAUAACAGUCAAACCCAAAAGGCUAUAACUAGCGACAGACCUCCAUUAUUAUCUGGCCACAUCAGUCAACUGAUACAUAGUAUAUUCAACUUCAUAGGACUCAAAAGAUCCAAGUUUAUGAAACCUACACUGGUAGUCAACCAAAAACACAUGGGCAUCAUGUCUAAUAGCACCACUAAACUUGUAAGGAGCCAAGUAGAUGAAUCUUUAAAAUAUCUUUUGACCAUCAAAAGUCAUCAGAGGACCCACAGCAAUAGGAGAACAGUGAGUUUAGUAGGCAGUGAAUUAAUAAGAGGGGGUACCAAAGAAGAUGGUGAUACCCCUACAGUCAAAGAACCAUAAAUAGGAGUCGACCUUAAUGGAAAAAUACCUUACGAAGUGUGAAAAGUACCUGACACACUCAAAGUAACACCAGUCUGGAGAGCAUCAUCCAGAUGAAUCAAUAGAGUAAUUAAUAAAUCCUGUAACAACGGGGUAUCAACUAAACCCUAUGGGACCUGAGUUGGUCUCAGAUUCUCUAUUUGGCAAUCAUCCUUAGCAUAAUCAAUCUUAAUCGUAGUAGAGGACUUCCUAGAAUAUCCUAUCACUAAGGUAGCUCCUCGUUCCCGUUCUUUACCUCUAAGUCUGCCAUGAACCCUACCUUAACCCCUUAUUGGGGCCCCAAUAACGGGUUUUGGCUCAGUAUUCAAAUAUCUUUGGAUCUUGUCCUCACUAUGUACAUAGAAAAUAAUAGAAUACAAGUUUAGGUCAUUGAGUGUGAAUAACCCGUACGAUAAGGGAUCAUAUUAGAGAGGUUUUUCCUAAAGACAUCAUAUAGAAUCUUAAAGAUAGAUAUGAACAUAAAUAUAUUGAUCCACAAGACUCUAUUAAGAAUCCUGCUCUUUUACUUAUGAAAUUAGAGAACCUGGUGCUUUGAUACCACUUUAUCACAACCAAAAAGUCAAUGUCAUGAUGACACCUACCUCGAUCCAGCCUUAGUAGGCCGAUUACCUAAAAAGAAAAGGAAAAUCUAAAAUACACAUCAAACAGAUAAAAUAAAACUUUUAGAAUGAAUUCAGACCAAAAUAAGUAAACAUGGAAAAAAUUUGAAUGAAAUAUAAUAAAGCCCAAAAUACAAGUGUCAUAAUAGUAAAGGGCAUUUAGUAAAAAAAACCAAAUAUAUAAAAAUACUACAAUGUCUUUCUCUGACAGACAAUAAAGACAUAGGAUAGGAUAAGAGAAGGUUCAAAAUCAACUUUAAACUUUGGAGCAUGCCAAUACCACAGAUAUUGACAAUGAUAGCUUAAAAUCAGUUGUUGCAAGUCAUACUCGAAUUGGGAUCUGCACCAAAAGGGAUUAAUAGGAGUGAGAACUAUCCACUUAUACUCUAUAGGUAGCAUAGGAUUACUAAGAAAAGUAGAAGAAAUAAUACAAGUAAAAGAUACGAUCAGCACAUCACUUACAAACAAAAAAUUUACUGAAUGGUAGCUCACACUAUCUCCACUAAUAGUUCAAUAAUAUGAGAUCAAAGAAAAAAAUACACAUGAAAUACAUUAGGGUACUAAGACACAUUAUGAAUAUGUGAAAGAAACACAAAAUCUAUAAAUGUAAUGCAAUGCAAUGAUGUAAUGAUAGUGGGAGUUACGUAUACAUACUUUUCAAACCUCCGCACUUCAGGACAGGGCCCAUUGAGGGUUGGAAACCCAUAUAAUUUCAUAAUCCCCACAAACCUUACCGAGAAAUAACCUCAGCUUAGGCUUUCUAAUAUAUCAAAAUUAACCUUGCUGACAAAGACCUCGGCCAAGGGGUUUUAUAAGGAGUUUCUAUUUCCUUUCAAAGUCAGAAUUUAUCAGUGGUACCAAUAUCUCAUAAAUAUAUAUGUAUUAAAAGAAGAUGUAAUGCUCACAACCAAUUAGUAUAAAGAUAAUGAUAAAUUUAAUACAGGUAUAAAUGAGCUUAAAAUCAACUUGAUAAAUCAGUAACUCAUGAUCCCGGACCUUGCUCGACACCACUAUAAUGAAUAAUCAUGUAAGAAAUUAAUAAUAUCAUUUCAAACCCCUCACUCGGAUAUUACUAUCACGAUAGAGGCAAAUUAAUGCUUAAAGAAGACCUAUAAUAUCUACUCAAUAGACCUAUAAUAUCUACUCAAUCCCCAGCAUGGGAAUCACAGCAACAAAUAUGACAUUUAAUGCCCAAGUAAGGCCUAUGAUGUCAAAUAAAGUCCCUACAUAGUCAACUUGCAACAUAUAUAAUAUAAUAAGUCAACAACAAUAUGCAUAUUAGCCCCUACACGAAAUACACGAGCACAUGUUAAUGAUAAAAAUCACAAAAUAUAAUUUCCAUGGCUAAUUUCUCACUUCAUAGUAUGAUUUACAUGUAUGUUAACUAUCCAACCCAUUCUAAAGAAAGUUAAGCCAUAACCUACCUCAAUGUACCAAAAUCCAAGUGUAGAACCUUCAACAUGGUGUCUUUCCCUUUUGAAUGAUCUUGAGUGAUCUAAAUCUAUCAAAUACAUAAUUUAUGCAUCAAAAGGAAGCUAAUGAUACUCAUAUAGACUAUUUUUAAUAUGGAUCUAAAAUAGAUUCAAAAAAUGAGUUAGAAAUCGAAAGGGGGUAAAAUCAAAAUUUUAUUUUGAAACAUAUUUUCCAUAACAGUAGCAAUCUAAAUUUAAAAAUUCAUGAAAAAAUAAGUUUAAAAUGAGGUUCAAAUCGAUGAAAACUAUAUUAAUAGUUUAUCAAAAAAAGUUCCCAAAUUCUAGUCUGAAAACAAGAUUAAAAGGUAUUUUUAUUGAUAUAAUCACUAGGAAAUAAAAGAAAGAUGAUUUAGAGCUUAACCAAGCAAGAAUGGUGGAGAAAACCCUAAUAAUAACCUUUUUUGAAGCUUUAAGAUCCAAAAUAGAAGAAAAUCAUGAAAAUGGACUAUUCAUACUAUUUUGUGAACAGUAACUCACGAUCGCGGUCCAUGUCUCGUGUUUGUGAGGGUUAAUGUUGGCUGGCCAAUAAUCUUGUCUUCGCAUUUACAGCCAGGCCUUCAUAUUCACGAAUGCUGGUAACCCAGAUCCAUCGCAUUCGUGAAGGUCUGGUCACCUUCGCGAUGAGAAAAAAACUGGAUUCAAUCCCGAUAAAGCUUCAGGAUUAGGUCCACUUCCGUCAUGAUUGCGAUGAAGGAUACUUUCCUCAUUGCUUUAGAAAUUAAAGGUCGGCAUCUACAUUUGCAAAGAAGGGUUUUUUUACCAUAAAAUGCUUCAGCUCUAGCUGAUUUUCCACAAAAUUAAAAUCUCUAAAGAGAUAAAUAGAAUUCAUUCGGGACCCUACGUAACUAAAACAUAUAUGUUAAUAGGCUAUUUUUUAUGUUUUAAAUUCAAUUGAAAUGUUGAAUUUUUGAAAAGAGGCUAUUUAUAAUAAUUUAUCCCCCAGGAACCCACUUUGGCUUAUUUCACUAGCUUUUGUUCAAAGAAUCAAAAUAUAAAGUAAAGGUGUUGUCCCCAAACUACCCGUGCUACUAAUCCAAAAUCAAUAUAUUGGGUCUAAUAAAAUUGUGUAAAUUGCCAUGUGUUGCAUGAAACAUAAAAUAUUGACUGAAGUCAACAUCAUGGCUUUUAAUGCCUGUAAAAGUCUCAAAUCACUCCCUAAUACCUUGGAGACCGUGUCAACCCUUCCCACAUCUCAUAAAUAGAAUGUAACAACUACAAAUAAGAGUAAAAUGUUUAAAAUACAUUAAAAAAAAAUUCACUGUUAAAGUUGUUACACAUUCUCCCUGCCCUAGGUAUUUCAACUUGACUAUCACUUUGUAUGCAUAAUGGUGCUAAAGGUUUGAAGCAAAAAAUAUCUUUCAGGAAAUUUUGUAGCCAUUCAAUUUCUUCACUAGCCUUAACUAAAGCGAUAAACUGAGAUUCCAUUAUAAAGUGGCAAUUCAUGUUUAUUUGGAUGACUUCCAAACUGCUCCUCUACCAAAAGUAAAUACAUAUUCAAUUGUGAAUUUUAAUUCAUUUGAUUUGAUGAUCUAAUUUAUGUCACGACCUGAACUAGGGCCUGGCCGUGACGGACAUCCCAAACCCUGAGGGCCCGAAAUAUCCCUAUCUAUCUGGUAAGCAUGCACACAUUCAUAUAAAUAAAGAAGAUUCAGAAACAUAAUCUGCUACGGAAACAUGGUCAAUUUUGAAUUCAGCAUAAGUAUGAAAAUUGAAAAUCAACUACAUCUAAUAACAUUUGACUUAGUCUGCAAAAUCUCUACUACAGGAAAAUCUGACAACUGUCUGAAAACUGGAACAAGGCCCCCAGUAGACCAAAACGAUAAUAAGGGACAUAAUCUGAAAGAAAGGCCUUCUGGAAUAGAGAAGUCUCACCAACUAAUCACUGUAACUCUGUCUGACGAGUCUACUACCUUUCUGGACCCCUAGACUGAGCCUUAAAACCUGGAGAGAGGAGGGGGGAUAAUACAGAUGUACUGGUAUGCAAAGAUAUCCAAAAUAAAGAUUAUAUGUAAAUAAAAUAGUUUGGGAAACAACUUUGUCAAAACAUUAUACAUCAAGUGGCUUUCGAAACAUAUGGGCGCAUUUUUGAAAAAUAUCUAACCUGCCUGUCAAUGCACUUCUAAGUUAGGUGGAACUCCCCUACAAUUCUGAUAUUUCAUGGGUGGUAUGGAAUCCGUCAUUGACUCGGCGGGGAAGCCCCCAACCCAAGUGUGCCGCAAGGGCUGAAGUUCCUGAAUCUGAUAGGCCAAAAGGCUCUAGGCCAGCGUAAUAAAUAAACUCAGAUUGGCAAAUCAUGUUUUUGGGCGAUGAGUUGUUUGAUACUCACGCCUUCUUUGGGUAACCACCUAAACUCUCUUUAUGCCCAAUUUUAUCCUGUUCUAAAUCAUGUAUGUUUCUAGUUUCAACAUCUGAAAAGUCUGAUUUCAAAUAUGCAUUAAAUCUGUUCUGAAUUAUCAUGGCAUAAUCUGAAUUGGUGUCUUCACACCAAGACUUGCAAGUCCUAUUUCUGAGCCAUAAUGCAUCAUGCAUAAUUCUUUCAAUAAAACACAGUUCAGACCACCCACACAUGCAAAUAAUAUAAAAGAUUUCAUGUUCCGAGAACACAAGUCAAAACUAUGUUGAGAUUGUUCAAACAUAUGGUGGUCAUGUUCUUUUCGAAAAAUCAUGCACUCUUUCAUUAUAUGAAUAUUUUCAAUAUUUAUCAAUAUGCACAACCCUCUCUUUCGAAUUCAAAACCAUAAAUCAAUUUGUAGCAUUAAUCAAGAUAUUUCAUAUCAUGCUUUUCAAGAUACAUUCAAAACAAUCCAUAUCAUAAGAAAAUUGAAAAAAUCAUACCAAGAGAGGGAUUCAUGUGCGUCAUGCUCUUAAUGCUUUCAUAAAUCAUAAAACAUAUGCAUACAUAUAUAUAAUUUCAAAUCAAUUUGGGGAAGGUCAAAAGACCAAACAAUACCGUCAAGAUUUCUAAAAUAUGAAUGUAUUCAUAAAUCUGAAAACUCCUUUCUUAAAAUCAUGAUUUCUAUGCCCAUGAGAUUUUUAGAAAAAAUCCCGCGUACCUCAAAAUAGGAAAACAAUGGGUGUUUCUUGAAGCCUAUGAUCCAGAGAUUUCGAAUCUACAAUCAAUUAUGAAAAUUCACGGUUGAAUCUUGAGUUUCUUGAAGUUCUUCUUUGAAGCUCUAGAGAGGAUUCUUGAUGAUUUUGAUGAAAGUAGGGUUAGGUUGCUCAAACAUACCAUAAAUCCUUUGUUUGGACGGUUUUAAAGGCUAGGAAAAAGUCAAAAUUACCCUUAAUGAAUCCUAAACGGAACUAGAAAUUUGAACUUAAAAACUCAAUUUCAGGUGCCACCACGAUGCGCCACAAUCGCGGUGGUCCACUGGAAUUCGACGAGUGGGAAAUUGAGUGCCCCCGUGAUGCGCCACCAUCACGGAGCCCCACUGGAAUUUGAAGAUUUUCAAUUUAACCCUAUCCGCGAUGCGCUAGACACCAAAAUGAUGAUGUUUACGACUAGAACUUUAAAUUAUUCAUAACUUCUUCACCGAGGGUCCAUUUUGGAUAAAUCUUAUAUCGUUGGAAAGCUAAUUCAGUCAUCUACGUAAUGAAAGGUAGAAAUCUAGGAAAUUCCACUUGAAAAUUAAUUUAGAUCAUUCUAAAAGUUAAUUCUUAGACUCUCUAUGGACGAAAUUUAGCUAAGAAGACGUUGGGGUGUUACAAUAUCCCCCCCUAGGGAUCAUUCAUCUCCGAAUAAUGAUGCAGAUAACAGACAAGCACAAUUCUAAGCAUACUAAAGCAUAGAAAGAUUAAGGUAAGGGUUGUACCUUUAACUCCGUCAUCUACUAGGUCAAAAAGGUAUGGGUAUCUUGCUCUCAUGUCUUCCUCUGAUUCCCAAGUGGCUUCUUUCAUUUCUGAUUUCUCCACAAUACCUUAAUUGAAACUAUUUCUUUACUUUUCAACUUCCGGACCUGACGAUCUAGGAUUGCAAUAGGUUCAUCUUCAUAUGAUAAGGAGGCUGUCACCUUGAUCUCUUCUACAGGUAACACCGAAGAAUAGUCUCCAAUGCAUUUCUUUAACAUAGAUAUGUGAAAUACUAGAUGGACAGAACCCAAAUUGACAAGCAAUUCUAACUCACACUCAACACCACUUAUUCUUCUCAAAAUCUGAUAUGGUCCUAUAUAGCGAGGACUCAAUUUACCUUUCUUCCCGAAUCGCAUGACUCCCUUCAUAGGAGAAACUUUUAAAAAUACCCAAUCCCCGACCUCAAACUCUAAAUCUCUUCUCCUAAUAUCGGCAUAAGAUUUCUGAUGACUCUGAGCCGUCUUAAGUUGUUCUCUGAUGACUUUCACAUCCUGCAUUGCCUAACAAACAAGAUCGGGCCCAAAUAUUUGCAUCUCACCUACUUCAUACCAUACUAUAGGAGACCUACAUCUUCUCCCAUACAGUGCCUCAAAUGGUGCCAUCUUAAUACUGGAAUGGAAACUAUUAUUAUACACAAACUCUAUCAAUGGAAAGUGCUCUGCCCAACUACCUUUAAAAUCAAUCACACAGGCCCUCAACAUGUCCUCAAGGGUCUGAAUGGUGCGUUCGGCCUGCCCAUCGUUCUGAGGGUGAAAAGCAGUGCUUAGGUUCACUUGGGUACCUAAUCCUUUCUGGAAAGAUCUCCACAACUGAGAAGAGAACUGUGUACCUCGAUCGGAUAUGAUGGACACAGGCGCACCAUGCAAAUGAACUAUUUCUGCAAUGAACUGCUUGGCAUAAUCCUCUUCUGAAUAGUUAGUCCUAACAGGCAGAAAAUGGGCUGACUUAGUCAGUCUAUCUACAAUUACCUAAAUAUAAUCAUACUAGUUUCGGGACUUUGGGAGCCCUGUAAUAAAGUCCAUAUUAAUUAUCUCCCACUUCCACAAGGGCAAAGCUAUCUCUUAGGAAGAGCCACCUGGCCUCAUAUGUUCUACUUUAACUUGUUGACAAUUCAAACACUUGGAAACAAAGUUAUCCACAUAAUGCUUCAUAUUAUUCCACCAAUACAAAGAUUUCAGAUCCUUGUACAUCAUAGUAGAGCCUGGGUGAACAACAUACCUCGAAGUGUGAGCUUCGUCGGGGAUUUUAUUCCGUAAAUCACCCAUAUCUGGUACACAUAAUUGACCCUGGUAUCUCAAAAUACCAUCACCACCGAUCUCAACUGACAUCACCUUCUACUGACCUACAUCAUUCUUAAUUUGCAUCAAGAUGGGAUCUUCAACCUGCUUCUUUUUAACUCUCGUACAAAGGGAAGACGUAGCUAUCUCAUGAACAACCAUUCCCCCAUCUUCAGAAUCCAAGAGUCGCACUCCUAGAUUUGUAAGACAGUGAAUAUCUUUCACUAUUUCUCUUUUUCCUUCUUCAAUAUGAGAAAUACUGCCCAUAGACAAUCUGCUGAGGGUGUCGGUUACCACAUUUGCCUUACUCAGAUGAUAUUAAAGGCUCAUGUCAUAGUCUUUCAAAAGCUCCAUUCAACGCCUUUGCCUAAGAUUUAGUUCUUUCUACGAGAAAACAUACUGGAAACUCUUAUGGUCAGUGAAAAUAUCAGCAUGCACCCCAUAAAGAUAAUGCCUCCAAAUUCUAAGCUCAAACACCACAGCUGCUAAUUCCAAAUCAUGAGUGGGGUAAUUCUGCUCAUGCAUCUUUAACUUCCUAGAUGCAUAAGCCACCACCUUUCCGUUCUGCAUAAGUACACACCCAAGUCCCACACGGGAUGUAUCAUAGUACACAACAAAACCCUCUGUACCUUCCGAAAGAGUCAAAACAGGAGCCAUAGUCAACUUGUCUUUCGACUUCUCAAAACUAUUCACACAAGAGUCGGACCAUAAAAACUUUAUCUUUUCUGAGUUAACUUAGUAAGUGGAGCAUCUAUAGAAGAGAAACUCUCUACAAACCUCCGGUAAUACCCUACUAAACCCAAGAAACUCCGAAUGUUAGUUGGAGUCCUGGGUCUAGGCCAUUUCUUUACUGCCUCAAUCUUUUGGGGAUCAACAUUAAUCCCUUCACUAGACACAAUGUUCCCCAAGAAAGCAAUAACAUUCAACCAGAAUUCACACUUGGAAAAUUUUGCAUACAACUUAUGAUCUUUGAGGGUCUGAAGAACAGUACGGAGGUGAUUGGUAUGGUCCUUCUCACUUUUAGAGUAAACCAAGAUGUCAUCAAUAAAAACUAUGACAAACAGGUCUAGGAACUAACGGAAGACCCAAUUCAUUAGGUCCAUGAAAGUUGCAGGGGCGUUGGUCAACCUGAAGGACAUGACUAAGAAUUUAUAAUGACCAUAUCUGGUUCGGAAGGCUAUUUUAAGAAUGUCUGACUCCCUAACUUUCAACUAAUGAUAUCCCGAACGAAGGUCUAUUUUUGAAAAACACUUAGCACCUUGAAGCUGAUCAAAAAGGUCAUCCAUUCUAAGAAGAGGAUAUUUAUUUUUCAUAGUGACCUUAUUCAACUAUGGUAAUCUAUGCACAUACGCAGGGAACCAUCUUUUUUUCGCACAAAGAGUACAAGUGCGCCCCAAGGAGAAACACUAGGUCUGAUAAAACCCUUAUCUAGGAGAUCUAUUAGCUGUUCUUUCAACUCUUUUAACUCUACAGGAGCCAUUUUAUAUGGCAGUAUAAAAAUAGGAAGGGUAUCUGGCAACACAUCAAUGCUAAAAUCUAUCUCCCUAUCAGGUGGAAUUCCUGGGAGAUCAUCCAAAAAAACUUCUGGGAAUUCAUUUACUACUGGGACAGACUGAAGGGGGAGACUUUUGGCGUUAGAAUCCUUAAUCUGAAUAAGAUGGUACAAGCAACCCUUGGAAAUAAGUUUAUGGCUCUGAUAUAAGAUAUGAAGUGCCCUCUAGGUGCUAAGGAAUGCCCCUCCCACUCUAUAUCUGGAUCGUUCAGAAAAGAAAAGGUAACCUUUUGGGUCUUACAGUCUAGUGUGGCAUAACAUCGAUGGAGCCAAUCCAUCCCUAGGAUAGCAUCAAAAGCAACCAUAUCAAGUUCUAUGAGGUCUGCUAUAGUAUCCCUACUAAGAAUAGACACAACACAAUUUUUGUACACCCUUCUAGCCACAAUCGAAUCUCCCACCAGAGUGGAAACAGAGAAAGGUUCAGCAAUCACAUCGGGUUCAAACCCAAAACCAACAGCCACAUAUGGGGUCACAUAAGAUAAGGUAGACCCGGGAUCAAGCAAUACAUAUACCUCGCGGAAAAAAAUUUGUAACAUACCAGUGACUACGUUUGGCAAGGCUUUCGCCUCCUGGCGAUUAGUCAGAGCAUACAGCUGGUUGCGACUGCUCCUAGCUGCUGAAUUGGUGCCCUUUUGAGAUGGUGGUGGUGCAUAAAAGUUUUCCUGAGACUUAGCUCCACCAACAUUCCUCCUAGCAGAGGGACAUUGUCUCUAGAAGUGGCCCGUUUGACUACAUAAAUAACACACUGACGAUCCCAACUGAUACCUUCUCGGAUGAUACCUACCAUAAGUCUCACAUCACAGAUAAGAAUGGUACUACUGAGCCACACUAUCUUGCGACUGAGUAUCCUGAGCUCUGGGUCCCUGGCUGUCCUAAAAACUCUGAGAUCGUCUAUCAAUUGGAGGUCUGGGCUCUAGGGCACUAGCUGCAGACUGCGUCUUUCCCCAAAACUUCUUCUUUUGCCAUUUGUUACCCCAAUUACCACCCUACUGCUGACUGGGGUUCUAAUCCACUGAUCUGGCUCUCUUCAUCUGCCUGUCCUUCUCUCUGGACUCGGCUAUAUUCUUCUUCUUCUCCUCAAACUACUGCAUGUGGAUUGUCAGCCUAGCAAAGUCCAAUUCCUUGUUUAGUAUCACCUCUUGACAUUCAAGCACUAGAUCAUCUCAAAGGCUGGAAGCAAACUUCCUUAUUCGGGCCCUCAUACUGCUCGUCAUCUUAGGAGCAUAAUGGGCCAGCUGAUUAAACUUUAAAGUAUACUCCCGAACUCUCAUCUUACCCUCCUUAAGGUUUAUGAACUCCUCUACUUUGGCUUCCCUCAACUCUAGAGGAAAGAACCGAUCAAGAAAAGCUUUCAUAAAUUCAUCCCACACUGUGGGCUCAGUACAGUCACCCUUCGUCUCUUCCCACUCAUUAUACCAUUGGUUCGCUACAUCCUUUAGCUAGUAUGCCGCUAGCUCAACACCUUCCACCUGAUCCACAUGAAUCACUCUGAAAAUCUUCUCCAUUUCGUAUAUGAACUCUUGCGGAUCCUCUUCUACCUUAGUGUCAGUAAACUUAGGCGAGUUCAUUCUCAUGAACUGACCCACCCUAGUAGCUUCAAAUGUAAUAGGUGCAGACCCAACAUCUUCUGAUUGUUGGGCCUGAUUAGCCACCAACUAUGUCAGUAUAUGAAUAGAUUAUCUGAAUUCUGCAUUUGAAAUAUCCCUCCAAGUAGUUGGGGGAUGGUUAACAUUAGUUUGAGGAGCCCUAGGUGGAAUGGUUGGGACUAGAGGGACUCCCAGAGUAGGGAUAGGUUCUAGAGUGUGAACUUUGUUAUGUGUCCUAAUACCAUGAGUGGGAUGGACUUCGUCCUCUUGAGCAUUAAUGUUGGUGCGACGGGGAGGCAUAACUGGUUUUUCUGAAAAGCAAAAGAUCAUAAAUUAGGGGACAGAUUAGACUCUGAAGCACAAACUAAAUCACAAAGAAGAGAAACAUUCCAAAACUCCUAGUAGCCUUCUGCUUAUAAGUGUGGUGCGCUACAUACUCAUAAAUAAGACUCUACCCGAUGCGAUUUCACAGACACCUUGGGACCAUUAACCAUGCUUUGAUACCAAGUUUGUCACGACCCGAAUUAGGACUUGGCCGUGACGGACAUCCCGAACCCUGAGGGCCCAGAACGUCCUUCUCUAUCUGGUAAGCAUGCACAUAUUCAUAUAAAUAAAGAAGAUGCGAAAACAUAAUCUGCUACGGAAAUAUUGUCAAUUCUGAAUUCAACAUAAGUAUGAAAAUUGAAAAUCAACUACAUCUAAUAACAUCUGAUUCAGUCUUCGAAGUCUCUACUACAGGAAAAUCUGACAACUAUCUAAAAACUAGGACAAGGCCCUCAGUAAACCAAAAUGAUAAUAAGGGACAUAAUCUGAAAGACGGGCCUUCUGGAAUAGAGAAGGCUCACCAACUAAUCACUACAACUCUGUCUGACGAAUCUACUGCGUUUCUGGACCCCUAGACUGAGCCUCAAAACUUAGAGAAAUGAGGGGGGGGAAUACAAAUGUACUGGUACGCAAAGAAAACCAAAAUAAAGCUUAUAUGUAAAUAAAAUAGUUUGGGAAACAACUUUUUCAAAACAUUAUACAUCAAGUGGCUUUCGAAACACAUAGGCGCAUUUAUGAAAAACAUAUAACCUGUCUGUCAAUGCAAGUUUUGAUCUGUAUAUUACUUCUGAGUUAGGUGGCACUCCCCGACAAUUUUGAUAUUCCACGGGCGGUAUGGAAUCCGCCAUUGACUCAGCGGGGAAGCCCCCAACCCAAGUGUACCGCAAGGGCUGGAGUUCCUGAAUCUGAUACGCCACAGGGCUCUAGGCCAGCUUAAUAAAUAAAUCUAAAUCGACAAAUCACAGUUUUGGGAGAUGAGUUGUUUGAUACUCACGCCUUCUUCGGGGAACCACCUAAACUCUCUUUAUGUCUAAUUUUAUCCUGUUCUAAAUCAUGCAUGUUUCUAGUUUCAACAUCUGAAAAGUCUGAUUUUAAACAUGCAUUAAAUCUGUUCUGAAUUAUCAUGGCAUAAUCUGAAUUGGUGUCAGCACACCAAUACUUGCAAGUCCUAUUUCUAAGCCAUAAUGCAUCAUGCAUAAUUCUUUCAUUAAAAUACAGUUCUGACCACCCAAACAUGCAAACAAUAUAAAAGAUUUCAUGUUUCAAGAACACAAGUCAAAACUAUGCUGAGAUUGUUCAAACAUAUGGUGGUCAUGUGCUUUUGGAAAAAUCAUGCACUCUUUCAUUAUAUGAAUAUUUUCAACAUUUAUCAAUAUGCACAACCCUCUCUUUCGAAUUCAAAACCAUAAAUCAAUUUGUAGAAUUAAUCAAGAUAUUUCAUAUCAUGCUUUUCAAGAUACAUUCAAAACACUCCAUAUCAUAAGAAAAUUGAAAAAAUCAUAUCAAGAGAGGGAUUCAUGUGCGUCAUGAUCUCAAUGCUUUCAUAAAUCAUAAAAUAUAUGCAUACGUAUAUAUAAUUUUAAAUCAAUUUGGGGAAGGUCAAAAGACCAAACAAUACCGUUAAGAUUUCUAAAAUAUGAAUGUAUUCAUAAAUCUGAAAACCCCUUUCUUAAAAUCAUGAUUUCUAUGUCCAUGAGAUUUUUAAGAAAACCCCGCGUACCUCAAAAUAGGAAAACAAUGGGUGUUUAUUGAAGCCUAUGAUCCGGGGAUUUUGAAUCUUCAAUCAAUUUUGAAAAUCCAUGAUUGAAUCUUGAGUUUCUUGAAGUUCUUGUUUGAAGCUCUAGAGAGGAUUCUUGAUGAUUUUGAUAAACGUAGGGUUAGGUUGCUCAAAUAUACCCUAAAUCCUUUGUUGGCACAGUUUUAAAGGAUAGGAAAAAUUCAAAAUCACCCUUAAUGACUCCUAAACGGAACUGGAAAUUUGAACUUAAAAAACCGAUUUCGGGUGCCACCACGACGCGCCACAAUCGCGGUGGUUCACUGAAAUUCGACGAGUAGGAAAUUGAGUACCUCCGCGAUGCACCACCAUCGCAGAGACCCACUGGAAUUUGACGAUUGCCAAUUUAACUCUCUCGCGAUGCGCUAGACACCAAAAUGAUGAUGUUUAUGAUGGAAUUUUAAAUUAUUCAUAACUUCUUCACCGAGGGUUCAUUUUGGACAAAUCUUAUAUCGUUGGAAAGCUAAUUCAGUCAUCUACAUAAUGAAAGGUUGAAAUCUAGGAAAUUCUACAUUCAAAUUAAUUUAGGUCAUUCUAAAAUAAAAUGCUAAGACUUUCCAUGGACAAAAUUUAGCUAAGAAGACGUCGGGGUGUUACAAUUUACAUCACUAUAUCCUUCUAUUAUGGCUAGAUAAUUGUUACAAUAUAAAUCAUAGUUUUGAGUAUGCUUUGCAUACCCCAAAUCUCUUUAGAUUGUCAUCCAAUGAGUUUGAUUGAGAUUACUUGUGAACAGACUUAAUUUACUAAUUGCACGUGCUAUAUUUGGCCGCAUACAAUUUAUGAUAUAUAUGAAACUUUUCAAUACUCUUGCAUAGUUCAAUUUUGAGUCACUUUCAUAUUUAUUUUUUGAAGUGAAAAUCUCAAAUUUAUUGGUGUCUUGGCAAUAUUUAAAUCCAAAUAUUUGAACUUGUCAAUAAUAUUAAUAAUGUAAUGAGACUGUGACAAGGCUAAACCUUGUAGAGUUUUAUAAAUUCUUAUUCCUAAGAUCACAUCAGCAACUCCAGGAUUUUUCAUAUAGCAUUAACUUUAUAACAUUUAUGUCGUAAAUGUCUCUACUGAUGAUGAACAUCUCAUCAAUAUACAAGCAAAUAAUGGAUUUAUGGUUUGGAGUGUCUCUAAUGUAAACGCAUUUGUCAAACUCAUUAGUCUUAAAUCCAUUUUCCAACAUAGUUUGGUCAAAUUUUACAUGCCAUUGUUUAGAUAUUUGAUUUAGGCCUCAUUUGUUUGCACUUAAUGAAGGUCUGAAUCUGAAUGGUUCAGACUUCAGACCAUUAAGUGCAUUUGUUUUUUAUUAAGAUUUUAGCUCUUAAUAGGUCUUAGUCAUUUAGAUCUAGAACCAAGUCUUAAUAGGUCUGAAGAGAUAUUCUGGUGUUGGAUAAUAUUCACCACUCUAUUUAUAAUUAGUAGUCACUAUCACUAACCAUCUCUGCCGUCGCCACCAUUAUCAACCACCACCCACCACCAAUAAUCACCUCUGCCAUCACAACCACCAUCAAUAAUAAAUAUCGCUACCAACCACUAUUGUCAACUACUACUACACCUACUAUAUUUAUUAUUCUAAUUUAUUCACCACCAUCAAUAUCACCACAAUCAUCAGCCAAUUCCUACUACCGACCAACUUAUCUAUCACAACUAGCACCACUACUAACUACCACUAAUAUAUCACAACCUCCACAUAUUCUUUGACUACCACCACCAUUGUCUCUGGUAAUGCCGCAUCUACCAUCACUUCAACCACUACCAUCGCUAUAAUUUAUCUCUACUAAUAACCAUCUCCACCAUCACAACAAACAACAUCUCCAACUAGUACCAACAUAUAUUCAUGUUUCAGCCAACACAAUUAAUACCUCAAACUACUAACAUCAAGCAAGGUCAUAUCACAACCACCAUCACCACCAUCAAUCAUCACCAUCAUAACAAUCACUAUAAUACCAAGUAUCAUAACUAUCACCACCAACAUUAGUAAUCACUAACAUCAAUCAUUGUCACUACAACUACCAUUAUAAAUCAUCUCCACUAUCACUAACAAACAUAAAUGUUUUUUCUCAAUCAAAUUAUAAUUUUGUUGUAUUAAAUUACAUACUUUUCUAAUAUAUAAUUAAUUUUUUAUUUGAAUUAUAUUAUUAUUUUAUUUUAUAUACAAAUAAAAGUUUUUUGUACAUUCAGAUGUUGAAAAACAAAGAGUCUUAGUCAUUCAGUUUUCAGAUCUAGAUACAACGUCUUAAUCAUUAAGAUGUGCAUUCAGAUUCAGACCUCUGAAUGUUAAAAAAACAAAUGCAGCCUCAGUCCAUAAAGUGACUUAACAAGUUUGCACUCUUUUCUUUUUUUUUAUCAGUAACCACAAAAUUCUUAGAUUAUUUUAUGUAAAUUUCUUCCUCAUAUUAUUCAGUUAAAAAAGUUAUUUUAACAUUCAUUUGAUGGAUAUGAAGAUCAUAUACCACAGCUAAUACUACAAACAUUUGAAUGGAUAUAAUUUUUUUUUACUGGCGAGUAUGUGUCAAAAUAAUUAAAGCUUUCUUUUUGUCUAAAUCCUUUAAUGAUAAGUCUUGUAUUGUAUUUUUCAAUAAUUUCAUAAGUUUUAUUUUCUUUUUGAAGAUCUAUUUUGAACCUAAAGACUUAUUUUCUAGAAGAAGAUCAACCAACUCCCAAGUAUGGUUGUUCAAGAUUGAAUCAAUUUUACUAUUGACAACCUCUUUUCAAAAGUAUGAGUCCGAAGAAGACAUGACUUUUUUGAAUGUUUGAGGCUCAUUUUCAAAAGAAAUGUUACAAAGUCAUAUUAGAAGAAAGUAGAUGUUCUUUGACGUUUACUAUGCUUUGGAUUCUCUUCAUUAUGUACAUUCUUCUUUAGUUCUUUUCGAGAUUGUUUAUACUAUUCAUUGAAUAAUUCAUAUCUAGUUUUAUUUGGAUAAAUGUUCUCAAAGAAUUCAUUAUUAUCUGAUUCAAUUAUCAUGUUGUCAUGAAUAUCCACAUAUUCAUACUUAUGGACCAAAUAUCUACAUGCUUUACUAUCUGUAGCAUAUCCAAUGAAAAUACAGUCCAUCAUUUUUUGUCUAAUUUUAACCAUUUUGAGUAUAGAAAUUUAAAUUUUUGAGGACAUGACCCUAGAUAGAAAGUUGUGGAGGUGGCGAACUAGGGUAGUAGGUUGGUAUUAUUUCAUACUGUUGUAUUGUUGCAUUACUUGGUGAAUCUUUUCUAUAGAAUUAUUGGGUGUGGUAAUUUUUACUAUUUCUUAUCCUUUUACUAUUCCUUAUCUAGAUUAUUUUAUCUUGAGUCGAGGGUCUAUGAAAAAUAGUAUCUCUAUCUCACCUCUGAGGUAAUGGUAUGAACUGUAUGCACCUACCCUUCUCAGACCUCACUUGGUGGGAAUAUACUGGGUGUGUUGUUGUUAUUUAAACUUGGACUUUGGCUAGGCAUCCCCACACUUUGAAAUAUUUUAAGUUGGAAUUUUUAUUUCUCAUAUGGAAUAGAUUGUAUCUUACUAUGGGACACUCUAUUGAGUAUUCAGUUGAGCAUAGCUUCCCCUAGAAAGUUUUGCGGUAAAGCUAAACUUACAAGUAAAACAUUCAUCAUUAAAUUUAUCAUUUAAUUUUUUCUUUGGUCAAACACAUCGAUAGGUCCCUCAGUUUGACACGGUCGUUUACAUUGACACCUAAAGUUGACGUUGUUCAUUUUAAGCACCUCAUCUAGCACCCCAGUGUCUCAUUUUGGCACGUUUUGUAAGUGUUCAUUACACUUACCUGAAGGCACGUAGAAGGUCUUCCUGGCUGAUGUGAUGUCCAAGUUUGCGCACAAACAGUAUAUUAACUCACCCUUAUUAAUUUAUACCUUUUUUCUCAUUUUUAUCCAUCAUUUUUCUCAAUCUUAAGAUUAUUUAAUAGUAAAUAUUAUUGAAAGAGAUUUAAAAAUUGAAUAUGCAUCUCUGCAUAAAUUAGAAGAUUAUAUGAUAAGAUUCAAAAUUCACUUGAGGAAACAUAUUUACGAGUUCGUGAAGAUCAAAUAAGAAGCACCACUUUUUUAGUCAUUUUUUGAAGCAUUAAAAAUGGAUAGAUUAAUAAUUUAAUAGAAAAAAGGUCAAAAAUUUGCAGAAAUUUGUCAAAUUCUUAUUCCCAGAUUAAUAAUUUAUCAAAAAUUGACAAAUUAAUAAUUUAUAAUUAUUGCAUCAUCUUAUCUUUUGUUCCCAGAUUCCUUUGAUUUCAAAUUUUGGAAUUUAAAAUAUUUGUAAAUUUCUCUUUCUUUUCCAUCGAAACUUGUAGAAUAUGUUUAGGGAAAGGGAUGUUGAAGAAGAUGAUACUUUGGAAGGAGGAGAGGGUUGUUGCAGCAGGCGAUUUGGGGGCGGGGUAUUGCUGGGUUGGAGAAGAAAAUAUUUAUGGGGGUCUAUUGCAGAACGCAAUUUGAAGGUAGGGAUUUGGUUGUUUGGAGAAGACAAUUCAAAGGGGGAUGGGUGGGGAGGAGGGGGUGGGGGUGGCAACAUAUGAUUUGGGAGUGGGAUGGUUAGGAAAGAUGAUAUGAGAUGGGGUUGGGGUUAUUAAUAUUUUUUUAAUUUAUAUUAAUUAUAUAAAAAUUAUUUUGAUAAAAAUGAUAGAUGUCCUAUUAUAAUUGGUUACUUUACACGCGAUAGCGCGUGUAAUACAUAGCAAUAUAUAUUUUUGCUAAUUUGUAUAAAAGUGUCAAAAUAUCACACAUGAAUGCUAGUUGAGUACUUAUCAACAAAGUUGACUUUAGGUGUCAGAGUGAAAUUUCGUGCCAAAUUUAGGUAACUGGUGACGUGUUUGGCCUUCUUUUCAUAAUUUUAUGUGAUUGAGGCUAGAAGGGGCAGUAGUUUGAUGGACAAUUGCAUUUUUAAAACAUAUCUCAAGAAAAGGAGAUUCAUACUCUUCACCCUACCACUUCUUAUCAUUUUAAUCUUUUUAUCUAACUGAUUUUCAACUUUAGUUUUAUAUUAGCUAAAUGCUUCUAUUGUUUCAUCUUACUAUUCAAUAAAUAAACACAACAAUAUCUAGUGUAAUCAUCAAUAAAAGUUAUGAAUACUUUUUUCACCAUGAGUUUGUGUUGAUUUCAUAUCACAAAUAUCUAUGUUAGUAAAUUUUAAGGGAUUGAAAUUCCUUUCAAUAGAUUUAUAGCGUUUCUUAGCAUAUUAUAUUCUAACACAUGCUUAAUAUUUUAAUUUAUUACACUCAAAGUUAGGCAAAAUUUCUAGACUUAUCAAUUAUUGUAAGGUCUUGUAAUUGAUAUGCCCUAAACGUUCAUGCCAAAAUUUAUUUGGCUCAAGUAAGUAAGAAAAAUUUAAAAUUUUAUUCAUAUCAAUAGUUAUUACAUUGAUCUUAAAAAGGUGCUCGGUGAGGUAACUUUUACCUAUAUAUAGAGACAUAUUUGAAUCUAUUCUUAGUCAGAAGUAAUGUUAAGACUAAAUUCUUUCUCAAGUCUAGAAUAUAAAGGACAUUAUUUAGUACACCACUUUGUUAGAUGUAAUUUUCAAACAAAUCUUGUUUGUUCCUUUAACUUUUAUAGUUGCAAAGUUAGCCCUGAAUAUAUUCUCAUCAGGUUGAAUCAGAGUAUAUAACGCAAAAAGUUCUUUGUUGGCAUAACCGUGGAAGGAGGCAAAAAAAUUCACCUAUCAUUCUCUUGAUUUACCAAUCAUAUUGCAUUCUAAAAGUAUGGCAUAAAGAUUGUCCAUUUAUUUUUUAAAUUCAAUCAUGUUUGCUUGAUUCUUUUUUUAUCAUAUUUGGAGCCCGAUAAUCAGGAGCCUUGUGACAAACUCUGCAACAAUUGAAGCAAUUUUCUUUGAAUUUCUUCUUAGAUGAAUUAUUUUGCUAUCAAGAUGUUUUCUUACUUUUUUUGACUUUGUGGGAUAAUCUUCAAUAGCUUAUGUUGUAGAUAUUGUUGAAUUCUCAAUAUUACAAUGAGAUCUUCGACUGUCAUCUCCUUGAAUUUUUGGUUCAAGUAAUUUUUGAAGUCCUUCUACAAAGAUGAUAGCUUCUCAAUUAUGACAAUCACUUGAAAUGCAUCAUUCACAACUAAACCUUUAGCAAGGAGAUCGUGGAUUAUAACUUGCAACUCCUGAACUUAGGUAAAAAAAAAGCUUUAUUGUCUAUCAUUUUGAAGUUGAAAAUCUUUGCAACAACGAAUUUCUUCAUUCAGGCAUCCUCUAUCUUGUACGUCUUUUUCAAAGCAUCCCAUAAUUCUUUUGAUUUCUUCAUGUUGUUAGACACAUUAUACAAAUUAUUUUGUAGGUCGCUCAAAAUAUAGUUUUUAUAUAAAUAAUCUGAGUACUUUCAAGUUUCAGUCACUAAGAGACGUUCUUUAUCUGGAGUUGAUUCCGACAAGAUGAAAAUAUUUUCAUUGAUGGAAUUUUAUAGACUUAGAGAAGUCAAGUAGAAUAAUAUCUUUUGCUGCCACCUCUUGAAAUCUACACCAAAAAUUUUUCUAAUUUUUCAGUUUAUCCCAUGACUGAAAAAUUUAAUCGACUUAAAGAUACAGUAGUUGUUGCUGCAACAUUCAUCAUUCCAUCAUUGACUUCAUUUUUCAUUAGUUAUUUUGCCAUCAUAAUUAAACAAACAACUUAGUACUUAAAAUACUAAAAAUAAUGACUUAAUCUUUAUACAACUUAUUUCUCCUUAACGAUGAAGUUUUUUUAUUCUUCAAAUUGUAAACCAAAUGACCUUUCAAUUCUAACAAAGUUUUUAUAUCUUCAAAUGAGUAUCAAAUUCAAAUAGAGUAGAAAACCAAAAGAUUUUAAUCUCCAGAAAUCAAAAUACAGAUAAAAUAAUUUUCUUAAGAUUUUCAUUUCAAGUAUAAAAUCUGUAUUUAAAAUAUGAACUUCAACAAGUUUAAGAACAACUCAGAAACAACAAAGAAGUUCAAACUAUUUUCUAGAAAAUAGUAAAAACAAACACGAAAGAGAUGAAGAUAGAAUUACGAAUCAAGCCAACUGAAUUCGCAAUAUGUCCUUAAGGAAAUUAUUUUUCCCAAGUACCCAUAUUUAUGGAAUAUAUCCUCCUAGCAUAAAAUAAUUCACUUCAGUUGAUUAACGGUACCCUAAAAUUCGAAAUUACGCAAUGGAAGCAAAUCACACUAGUUUUGCAAGAAAGAAGAGUUUUUCACUUGAAAAUUUCAUGCCAAUAUCUGAGGAAAAAAUAGAUUUUUAUUGUCAAAAAAGAUGUUGCUUCAGAAAAAAUAAUGAUUCGUUAAGAGUUGCACUUCUUCAAAACCACAGAUCCAUAUGUGGACCCAUGUGCGUCCGCACAUGGUGAGAUGUGACUGCAUAUUGUUUUCAUCAUCAAAAUAAAAAAUUGACAUUGAUAUGCGUUGGCAUCUGCGGAGCCAUAUGCGUCUGUAGAUUGAUAAAUGUGCACGUAUGUCAGCUUUUUCAUCUUUAAACAGUGAACUGAAGGAUUGUAUUCCUUCGAUGUGUAUUUUGAUAUGCAUAUGCACAUGCUCGUGUGCGUCUGCAAAUGGAGGAAAAUUUUCAGAUCAAUUUUUUGGAUUAAAAAAUCAUCAACACUUAAUUUUCAAAUGAAUUUUAUUCAAAAAAUGUACUCUCUAUUUUUAAUUUCGAAGCUAAGCGAGUGACAACAAUAAUGAUUGCAUGAGGCUUGUAUUCUUCUUGCCUCCCUUAACAGAAGGAGAUGUGCUUCUUUAUUUAAGUACAAGGAUGUUUUUUUUUCCCACCAACAUGGGAGAAACACUACUUUUAUCCUAUACAAUUAGAUAAUUGUUUAAAAUAACUAUCCAUAAAAUGUUGAUAUCUAUCUGGUGCAUUUUUAUAUCCAAAUGAUAAUACGUUCCAUUCAUAAAAUCCUUGUGGUACCGUAAAUGCGGUUAAUUCUUUAGAUUCUUUUUCUAACUUUAAAUGGUAAAAUCCUGAUUUACAAUCGAAUUUGCUAAAAAAAUUAUAUCCCUAUAUUUGUCUUAUUUUUAAUAUCUUAUUUGGUAUUGGAUAAUUAUAUGUCAUAGUUUUUGCAUUUAAAUUUCUAUAAUCAAUAACCAUUCUACUUUUUCCUCUUUUUUAUUCACUAUGUUUAUUUACUGUAAAUGCUGGACUAUUAUGUUUACUAUUACCUUUUGUAUAUAUUGUUUUUCUAAUAAUUCAUCUAUAUGCAUUUUAAAUUCUUUUAAAUUGUCAAAAUUAUAUGCUAGUGGUUUCUGGGUUAUUAUGCUAUUUUUAUCUAUUAAUUUAAUUUUUAUAGUAGUUUUAUGUUUUUCCCAUCCUUUUAAUGGAUCUUCACUAUAUAAUUGUUCUAAUUUUUUCUUAAUUAUUUCUAUCUUAUUUAUUGAAAAUAUAGUUAUUUCUGCUUUAUUUAUCGAAAAUACUACUAAUUCUAUUGUAUCUUCAGCAUUUUUUAUAUUUUCUAACUUUUGUGUAAUUUUUUCACUUCCUUUUAUCCAAUCAGUUUUCUUUCUUAUUUUAUUAUUAAUUCCUUUUGCUCUCACUUUCUGUUUACAUGGUGUUGUAAAC